GUCCAUCCCUUACCCCGUCAUCAUGCUGUCCAUCCCUUACCCCAUCACCAUAAUAUCCAUCCCUUACCCCAUCACCAUAAUAUCCAUCCCUUACCCCAUCACCAUAAUGUACUGGAGACCGUAUCUUCAGAAGGAUAUUGAUACCUUAGAGAGGGUUCAGAGAAGGGCUACUAAACUGGUUCAUGGAUUGCGGGAUAAAAC